rnacentral:rRNA from 1 species
GUGAGGGACGAAGGCCUCUGGGCUGUAAACCUCUUUUCUCAAGGAAGAAGAACUGACGGUACUUGAGGAAUAAGCCACGGCUAAUUCCGUGCCAGCAGCCGCGGUAAUACGGGAGUGGCAAGCGUUAUCCGGAAUUAUUGGGCGUAAAGCGUCCGCAGGCGGCCUUGUAAGUCUGCUGUCAAAGAGUGGAGCUCAACUCCAUAGAGGCAGUGGAAACUGUAAGGCUUGAGUGUGGUAGGGGCAGAGGGAAUUCCCGGUGUAGCGGUGAAAUGCGUAGAUAUCGGGAAGAACACCAGUGGCGAAGGCGCUCUGCUGGGCCAUAACUGACGCUCAUGGACGAAAGCCAGGGGAGCGAAAGGGAUUAGAUACCCCUGUAGUCCUGGCCGUAAACGAUGAACACUAGGUGUCGGGGGAAUCGACCCCCUCGGUGUCGUAGCCAACGCGUUAAGUGUUCCGCCUGGGGAGUACGCACGCAAGUGUGAAACUCAAAGGAAUUGACGGGGGCCCGCACAAGCGGUGGAGUAUGUGGUUUAAUUCGAUGCAACGCGAAGAACCUUACCAGGGUUUGACAUCCUGCGAACCCCUGAGAGAUCGGGGGGUGCCUUCGGGAGCGCAGAGACAGGUGGUGCAUGGCUGUCGUCAGCUCGUGUCGUGAGAUGUUGGGUUAAGUCCCGCAACGAGCGCAACCCACGUCUUUAGUUGCCAGCAUUGAGUUGGGCACUCUAGAGAGACCGCCGGUGAUAAACCGGAGGAAGGUGUGGAUGACGUCAAGUCAUCAUGCCCCUUACAUCCUGGGCUACACACGUACUACAAUGCUACGGACAGAGGGCAGCAAACUCGCGAGAGCUAGCAAAUCCCAUAAACCGUGGCUCAGUUCAGAUCGUAGGCUGCAACUCGCCUACGUGAAGGAGGAAUCGCUAGUAAUCGCAGGUCAGCAUACUGCGGUGAAUACGUUCCCGGGCCUUGUACACACCGCCCGUCACACCAUGGAAGUUGGCCACGCCCGAAGCCGUUACUCCAACCCUUGU